GUGCAGGGUGGUACAGUGGGUAGAGCUCUGGUCUCCUGAGCCUUUAGCAGUGGUUCGAUUCCACUUGCAUG